rnacentral:rRNA from 1 species
AUGGCGACCGCCAUGCGGAGCGCCCGCCUCCUACGGCUCGGCUUCUGUCACGUCCCUUCUCUUCUCUUCCGAGGGCCCCUGUUCCCCUCCCCGAGCCCGGGCCUGGGCCUGGGCCUGAGCGUUGCCAGGGUCGGGUUGGUCCAUCUCCGAUGCUCGGCGGCCGAGGCCGGCGACGGCAGGGGUAAGAAGGUGUCAGCGCGACUAGCACUGGCACAGCAGGUGAUGCGCGACGCCGAGGAGCGCGCGGCCUCAGCCGGCUCUGAUCCCGCCCCCAAGAUCACCAUGGAUCAUGUUACUGUUAGCUUUGCAAGAAGUGGGGGCGCGGGUGGUCAGAAUGUUAACAAAGUUAAUACAAAGGUUGACAUGCGGUUCAAUGUUGAGAAAGCUCAUUGGCUCGGAGAGAGGAUUAAGGAACGGAUAUUGCAAACGGAAAAGAACAGGAUAAAUAAGGAUGGUGAACUUGUGAUGUCUUCUACGAAAACUAGGACACAGAAGGGCAAUAUUGAAGAUGCUUUGCAGAAAAUACAGGCGAUCAUUGAUGCUGCAUCAUAUGUUCCCCCACCGCCUUCAGAAGAGCAAAAGAAGAAAAUUGAAAAAAUUGCUGCAGCCGCUGAGAGGAACAGAAUGCAAAACAAGAAGGUACUCUCACAGAAGAAAGAAUCGAGGAGGAGCAAACCCAGCUGGGACUGA